rnacentral:rRNA from 1 species
AAUAGAUACCCAGGUAGUCCACGCCGUAAACGGUGGGCACUAGGUGUGGGCGACAUUCCACGUCGUCCGUGCCGCAGCUAACGCAUUAAGUGCCCCGCCUGGGGAGUACGGCCGCAAGGCUAAAACUCAAAGGAAUUGACGGGGGGCCCGCACAAGCGGCGGAGCAUGUGGCUUAAUUCGACGCAACGCGAAGAACCUUACCAAGGCUUGACAUACACCGGAAACGUCCAGAGAUGGGCGCCCCCUUGUGGUCGGUGUACAGGUGGUGCAUGGCUGUCGUCAACUCGUGUCGUGAGAUGUUGGGUUAAGUCCCGCAACGAGCGCAACCCUUGUCCCGUGUUGCCAGCAGGCCCUUGUGGUGCUGGGGACUCACGGGAGACCGCCGGGGUCAACUCGGAGAAGGUGGGGACGACGUCAAGUCAUCAUGCCCCUUAUGUCUUGGGCUGCACACGUGCUACAAUGGCCGGUACAAUGAGCUGCGAUACCGCGAGGUGGAGCGAACCUCAAAAAAGCCGGUCUCAGUUCGGAUUGGGGUCUGCAACUCCG